AUGUGGGAAAAGAGCUCUACCCAGACCCUUCUCCAUCCAGGCUGAGGAAGUGAGCUACAGAUGGAUUCCAAAGGCAUCAAUUCUCAUGGGUCGUUCUUCACUGCGAUUCACCCCAUUCACUCUACUGAAUGAAAAGGUUUUUUGCAUUUCUGGUGUCUGUGUGAAGGGGUCAGCAGGCAAACAGCAUCUCCUGACAGACAGCGUCUAUGCUCUGCGACUGCUGGAAGAUAGUCAGAAAAGACACAGUACAAGAUGAAGAGCACUGCGUGUUGAACUGAAGACUCUGAGUACAGAAAGCCCAUUUAUAAGAGAAAUAAAGUUUGCCCACAGAUAACAUAACCAAAGUUCUUCAGGAUGAACUCUGCUCAUUCACAGCCACUACGAGGAGUUCCCUUUUGCUUUGAGUUUCAGUUUCAGUUCUGCUGUUGAGGAACCUGUUUGAGCAAUGAGCAAGCACCUCCUUGGGCUCCCUGGGAGGCACUGCUAGAAAGAUGCUCUGCUGCUGCAGGCAGUGCUUCUGUAGCAUCACUCGUGACAAUGUGCUACUGUUGCCUUGAAGGGAUGCCAGCUUCAGUGUCAAAAAGAUAAGGAUUUUAUUCCUGAGGAACUUUCAAUGAGAGCACACUGCAGUCCUCCACAGAUCUGUCUGUACUUGACUUUCUGGAGCCUCAUGGAAAAGAUUUACAGAACAAAUGCUUUACUACCUGUUUGAAAAUGUCUCUGGGACAGAUCUUUGGUAUAACUCCAGAACCAGUAUUUCCUGAAGCUAAUGCACUACUCAUCUAACACCACUGAGUGGCAGAUAGCAAUGAACAACUCUGUAUGCAACAUUGUAUUUGACCAAGGAGAAACUGAUGAAUCUUCACUGUGUUCAACAAGCUAUGAAAUUUCUAGUCCAGUGCCAGUGAAACUGGGACACUGCAGCAUCAUAAACUAUCACUAUGUUGAUAACACACAGGCUAUUAACCUUCCAAAACAUUCACCUCGGAGGCUAAACUUCGCAGUACUUCAGCUUCGAUUCUGAGAAAUGUCUCUAUUCCACAACAACAUGAUAAGUGAGAGUGAAUUAAGUCCCUCGUGCAACAAAUGCAGGUUUGAGCAAUACCUCUUCAUCCAUCUUUAAAUAACAAGAGAAUGGCAAUAGGAGACGUGAUCAGACUGAACUUCUCUCUAUAAAAGCAUUUUAAAAUAUGGCACUUUACCAAUAGUAUUCUUGGAGGAUUUGCAAAACACAGCAGAAAUUCAGAAGAAUUGAAAACUGAGAGCUCCAAAAGAAACCGUUGCCACACCAAGAUGAAGAGGUGUAUUCCCCUGGAUCCUUGGGUGCCUCGGUUCAGGCUGGCUGAGUUCAGUGCACCGGCUGAGGGCAGGGGCAGCCUGCCAGCGCAGCAUCACUUUCUUUGGAUGUGGCACUGACAAGCUGCUGGCAGCGGUAGUUCUCGCUUGGCGUUUCUGUAGCUCAUCAUAGGACUAUUUGCAAGCUGCUCCUGAGUCCCACAUCAACACACACUUCCUUCUUGAAAAUGGCUGCCAAAAUUGUGAAGGUUUUGCACAGCCAUUCCCAAACCUGGGCUGGCAUCUCCAGACUCAUGGGAGAUGUGACACUGAUGACCCCAAAGAGAGAAGAAUUCCCCCACAGGCCAUUUCUUACCUCUGAUUUUUAAGCUGUAAAAGUAGUUGUGACUCCCAGAUACCAUCACCUUGACAGCACCUGUAGGCUUGAAUCACAGCUACCUGCUAUGUUUGGAGAAGUCCUUAGGUUAUGAAGGCCCUGCUAGAUCGCAGAUGGCUCCUCUGCUGUGCAGACAACCUGGCAUUUCUGUAGGACAGAAAAGCGAUGAUGACCACAUGGAAUGAAAACUCUAUUGUGGUUGUUGUUUUGUGAGUUUCCUUUCCAUCGAUGGAUUAUCCCAUGACUGAUCCACUCUUCAUCUGAGUCACCAACUGGUCAAUACUUAGAGUCUGAAGAGGGACGUACAAGUAUCAAAGAUCAAGACACUUUGGAUAGAUGGUGGCAAGGAACAUUAGAGUACCUCAGAAAGUUUCAUGAACCAUGUUUGACACAAUAAUUGCCAGUCAGAGACAAGUCAAAAAAAAUAGCUGAAUGUUAAGGAUCCUGUACAGAUUGUAUAGGUAACCUUUAUUCACAAGUAAACAUCAGGUAGACAUCCUGACAAAAGAAAAAAAAAGUCACUUUUCUGGAUGGCCUCCAAAUUAAAAGCAUUGUGAAUUCAUUUCAGGAAUAAAAUUACAGUCCUGAUAGCCUAAUCUUCUCUUUGGGAUAAGAAAACACGGCAUCUCAGGAAGAGGCUUCAGUAGAGCCAAGUGAGUUCAUGAUCAUUUAAUUCAAAAUCUCCACAUAAUUUCCUUUUAUUUAAAGCGUUAUUAAGAAAUAUCCUCCAGCUUAUCACAUGUGAAGCAUAAGCUUCCUUUGAUAUUAACUUUGACACAUACAGAGCAGUUGGGGAAUUAUAUUCAUUUAGGUGAUGGCACCUGUUAGUGAGCAUUUGAUUGCCCUUAGUGUAGAAGGAUUUACUCUUGUUAUUGAUUUGUUGGCAAAUAUAUUGGCUGGAAAUCCCCUGGUAUUGCUGGUAGCUGCAGAUUCCAAAUAUUAUUGGAUUUGUGAGCAAUUUUCCUCCCUGUUUAAACAUCUGAUUGCUUUAUAAAAAGAAGAGCCUAACAGUAAGGUGAAAAACAAAUGCUAGAUUUUAUUCUGUUGAGAAGGAAAGCUUCCUUGUUUUGCUUUUCUCCUGGUUGUUGUUUGCAUUCAUCUGGCUUUUGUUAUGGUUACUCUUACAACAGGCACAGAACUGGGAAUACAUUGCCACAGGAGCCAGCCAGAAAGAUGCCAUUACAGCUAAUGGGCAAGGGAUUGUCAGUGCAAAUACUGUCCCGUGCAGAGGAUAGAAAUCAGACCCAUCCACCCUUUAAGUGCCACAAAUAAAUGUAUGGGCUGCCGUGACUUCAUUUGUAUCACUGUUUUCCUUCUGAAUAAUUUUCCUUGAUCGUAUGGACAGCAAUUAGUGAAAGCCAAGAAUAAGCCAAAUAGAAGCUUUGCCAUCCUGACCCCAGAUGGUAUGGCCACGGGCAGCCAGGCAGCUUCUCUCCGCUCAUACACACUGUGGGCACCAGCCUGGGACCAGUCUGAUGCAGAUGACUGCAGUGGGCUGUGGGUGAGACAGAGCCAGGGUCAGGUAGCUCUGGGAGCACUAGGGGAUGGCAGUCUUCCCAACGCCCAUGCUGUGCCUUGGUUUGUUCUCCAGCAGUCACUGUAUUUUUAGUUCUUGUUACUGGAUUCUCAGGAAAAGUAAAUUGAUUUGUCUUUAUAGGUUCCUUGCCAAGGCCCCGUUCCUCUGUCACUAUACACUGAAAUUUCUGGUAGAAUACUACAGAAGUGCCGCAAGUCAUGAAUGCAGAAUUGAGCCUCUAGGACAGAGAAAUGUCUCCUUUUCAGAUUUUCUGUAAGACUGAUUCACAAAACUUGAUCAGAAUUUAUAACAACAACAAAAAAGGGAGUUUAAUUAGACCCAGAUUGGGAGAUGUCUGAAGAAAUUAGGUUUCAUUAUGUUCUCAUAUUAUAUCCUACAGUAUUCAUCCAGUUAAGGUUGGUGCUCAAGUUAUUUUUAAUAUGGGGAAUGAAUAAGAUAACCUAAGAUGCUGUAUGAUUGCUCCAGCUGAGACAUAAUAGUUGAAAGUCAUUCUUUCCAAUAAAAGUAACAGUGAACUGUGCUAUUAAUUCAUGGUAAUGAUGCCACUGGGAGAAGUAUAUGUCUUCCACUGCUGAAUAAUCAACAAAAGUAAAUUAACUUCAAGCAGCAGAAUAUGUAUGUGUGUAUGUCUAUGUGAGUUUACAUGACCUUGAGAAUAAAAAACAGAAAAACAAAUUAAAUACAGUUUUAAGCAAUAUAAGAAUGUAUUUUUAAAGUACUUAUUUUGGGAAGUAGUCCGUGUGAAUUCAGGAGUCCACAAAGCGAAGUGAAUCGUCACUCUCUUCUUGCAUAUCUUAACUAAAAUGCAUAGAUAUAUGCUUCUACCUGAAACCUUUCCAAAUUUCAGCUCUGAUACAUGUAGAAAUAUGGUUCCUGGUGCAUUUCAUUUUAACAUCUAACUCAACCAAAUCAAAAGGAAAACACUGAUUUUAAUAAAUCUGUGGUUUCUUAUCCUUUGUCACUCAGUCCUCGUUGACUCUUUCAAUUUGGCUGCUAAUUAAAGAGAAAGCAUUUAUCUCCUUCGUAGACAUUUUUGAUCAGCCUUUUCAAGCUAAAUGAAAACACUCAACUUCUUAAUAUGAAAAUUGAUUUUUAGCUGUGUUUAUCUACCAAUUUAUUUUUUUGUCUUUCUUUCCUACUCUUCCUCCCAAAAAGUACAAUUUUUUCUGAUGCUGCAUGCUUUUCACUCUAAUAACUUUGUUAUGAUUUAAUCACGUAUGCUUCUGAUGAACUUCUACCUGUUCAGACUUAAUGUGUUAGCUCAAAUUCACUCUUAUCAGCUUUGAAGAAAAAAGACAUUUCCCUUUUUUUUUUAAGUCAGUUUCUUCUUUUUUUUUUUUUAUAUGUAGAUACUCCACUCACCUUCAUUCAGUCAGUACUUCUUUGCAUUUCUCCAGAUCACAUUCCUGUCAUGGUUUUAUCAUUUUCGGUUAUUGGUACUCCACAUCAUAACAUCAUGUAGUGAAUGUACCUGGUUCUCAGAAGAGAAG